CAGAAGCACAGAUCUAUGGGGCAGAGUCCCAGAUCUAUGGGGCAGGAAGCGAUCUACAGGGCGCUGGGGGGAUCUGUGGGGCAGGAAGCCACCUAUGGGGCAGAAGCACAGGUCUAUGGGGCAGAGCCACAGAUCUAUGGGGCAGGAAGUGAUCUAUGGGGAGCUGGAGGGAAUCUGUGGGGCAGAGGCACAGAUUUAUGGGGCAGGAAGCCAUCUGUGGGGCAGAGCCACAUAUCUAUGGGGCAGGAAGCCAUCUAUGGGGCAGAGGCACAGAUCUAUGGGGCAGGAAGCCAUCUAUGGGGCAGAGCCAUAGAUCUAUGGGGCGCUGGGACGAUCUAUGGGGCAGAAGCACAGCUCUAUGGGGCAGGAAGCGAUCUAUGGGGCAGAAGCACAGCUCUGUGGGGCAGGAAGCAAUCCGUGGGGCAGGAAGCACAGAUCUAUGGGGCAGGAAACAAUCCGUGGGGCAGAGCCGCAGAUCUAUGGGGCAGAAGCACAGCUCUAUGGGGCAGGAAGCGAUCCGUGGGGCAGAAACACAGAUCUAUGGGGCAGAGCCGCAGAUCUAUGGGGCAGAAGCACAGCUCUAUGGGGCAGGAAGCGAUCCGUGGGGCAGAAGCACAGCUCUAUGGGGCAGAAGCACAGAUCUAUGGGGCACUGGGGCGAUCUGUGGGGCAGAAGCACAGAUCUAUGGGGCAGAGCUUUUCCCCCCCGCCCCACAAGUGUGGGUCCAGCCCCACUGAUUUCCCCCCCCCCCUUUUUCCCGCCCCAUAG
rnacentral:lncRNA from 1 species